GAUGAACGCUGGCGGUAUGCUUAACACAUGCAAGUCGAACGGACGCUCCGGAGUUAGUGGCGGAUGGGUGUGUAACGCGUGAGAAUCUGGCCUUGGGUUUGGGACAACUACUGGAAACGGUGGCCAACACCGGACGUGCCGUGAGGCAAAAGAGUAAUUUCCUGAAGAUGAGUUCGCGUUUGAUUAGCUAGUUGGUGAGGUGAAGGCUCACCAAGGCAGCGAUCAGUAGCUGGUCUGAGAGGACGACCGGCCACACUGGGACUGGGACACAGCCCAGACGCCUACGGGGGGCAGCGGUAGAGAAUGAUGCACAAAGGGCGAGUGCCUGACGGAGGAAUACCGCGUGAGAGAAGAAGGCUCUUGGGUUGUAAACCUCUUUACUUAGGGAAGAACAAAAUGACGGUACCUAAGGAGUCAGCAUCGGCUAACUCCGUG
rnacentral:rRNA from 1 species